ACGUGACCCAGGUUACAGCUCAAACUGAGGGCAGAACUUUGAUUCAUCCAAGUGUUGUUGAUUCUUCAAGAACACAGGAUUCAAGAAUGAGGGGCGCAUGGAGGCUUGCCGAAGGAGGCUUGCAUGGAAAGCUGCCAAAGCCAGGCAAUGUAUGGCUGGGUUGGAUUCCCUACAUCGAGGCCCUGAAAGGUGUGGUGGUGUCCGCCUGUGAUUCUGAACUUGGGAGAAUAUGAUAAAGAGAGUUACUACAGGUUUGAGGCCAGCAACGGUAACAGACCCGAUCCUCCUGCCUAGGAAUGGUGCUGCCCACAGUGGGCUUAAUCCUCCCACAUUAAUCAUCAGUCAAGACAAUCUCUUGUGGACAAUUCCUCAGUAGUUCAGAUUUCCUCUUCCCAGCAAAUAAUUGCUCAGAAAGAUAAACAGUUGACGGAGAUUCCUCUGGCCCAAGAAUUCUACCAUGUUGCCCAGAAAAGGGAGGCCUGGAGACUAUAUCAGGGGCUCACUCACCUGCCAGGAGUUUUGAGCUACUGCAAGAGCUGUGCCAGGAAUGCAUAAACUAAAGGCCCCAUGAGCGACAUAAGCCUGUCACACACUGCCAUUCUUCAGAAUGUAUAUAGAAGAACCAUAUUCAGGUCAAGAUGACAGAAUUGCUCCAGGGGACCAAAGUUUUAGUGCCAACUGUAGGAUUGAAUCUAGAAGCAGGAGAAAAUGAGGAGAAAUGUGAACGUUUGAAUAAUGUCCUGAAUUCACUCACCUUCAGAGUAAGUCUUCAAUCUCACCGCUUUGCCUCACGUCCUCAUUGUGAGUUUAUAAGUAUUUAUACUUCAUUCUGCUACGGAAAUUUCCCACCUAUAUAACAUUUUCAAACUGCGUCAGAAGAGUCUGUGGAGAAGGGUACUGCAGAUGUUUUUGAGAUUAUUGAAAUGCACACCAAUGUAGAGGCUUCCCAGGCGCACUCUCCAUAGCUGGAUAUUUUGGCUCUGAACAAAGUGGAUGAAUCGUCCCAUCUGACAGUUGCAUAUAUAAGUCAAGAAGUGUGUGUUAAUAGUCACCGGCUUUCUGCUGCUGUUCAGUGCUUGUCUCUGGCAAUCCUUCAUCUGCCAGGAUACAGGGUCUGAAGGGUCUUGGCACAUGGAAGCGUUAGUGCUUAGCAGCAAAGUAAAUAUUGGCAUGUGGUAUGGGUGAGGUGGGGCUAGGGAAGUUUGUGUCUAGCUCUGCCACUUUUUAUUUUACUUUUGUUUAUCGAUGAGUUGAUAAGAAAUCGAUGGCUUCACAUCUCCCGAGACAAAACAAACGACCUUAGUAAAUAUGAAACUUGGAAGGA
rnacentral:lncRNA from 1 species